ACGAGCAACGCAUGGAGGUGUGUAUCUAUUCGUAACCAGAGCGCGAAGUGUGGUACUCGUAGCAAUGUAGGUGUGUAUGAUAUCAUAUGCUUUGUCAAGUCCGUGCGCGCGCCCUGAAUAUAAUAAAAUAAGUACAAGACAGUCUCACUAAAAUAUACGACUCCUAUCUAGGUAGGCACAUACGUUACCUUUGCAUCAUUUGUCAUACCAACAUAGUACUCACAUAGCGCUAGCACCUCUGUCAAUACACAAUCUCGCCAAGGACCCACGCGCAGCGACCGGGAUCGAUCCAAUUCGCUCCUCGUCCAGCCAGGCUCCACACGAUUCGUCCGCGCGGGCGGUGCAUACAAUCCAGCAGCCGGCGGCGGCCCACGCCACGGCCAUAGUCAUAGUCAUAGUCACAGCACAGCACAGCACAGCACAGCACAGCACAGCACAGCACAGCACAGCACCCCUACAAUGCAACGCAACAACACAACAUCUCAUAUCCCACGUUACAUAUACACUCUACCGCACAUCG
rnacentral:misc_RNA from 1 species